GGGUCAUUCAAAUUUCUGCCCUAUCAGCUGUGAUGUUAGUGUAUUGGACUAACAUGGCGAAUACGGGUGACGGAGGAUUAGGGUCUGAUUCCGGAGAGGGAGCCUGAGAAACGGCUACCACUUCCAAGGAAGGCAGCAGGCGCGUAAAUUACCCAAUCCCGACACGGGGAGGUAGUGACAAGAAAUACCAAUACUGGGCUUUUCAAAGUCUGGUAAUUGGAAUGAGUACAACCCAAAUCCUUUAACGAGGAUCAACUGGAGGGCAAGUCUGGUGCCAGCAGCCGCGGUAAUACCAGCUCCAGUAGCGUAUAUUAAAGUUGUUGCAGUUAAAAGGCUCGUAGUCGAUGUAUGGCCUUGCGUGGCUGACCCGUGCCUUAGGGUGCGAGUGUCGGUGCAUGCAGGUCAUCCUUCUGGAGAGCGUCUCUGCCCUUGAGUGGGUCGGUUUCGCGAUUCAGAUCAUUUACUGUGAGUAAAUCAGGGUGUUCAAAGCAGGCUUUAAGCUUGAAUGGUUCAGCAUGGAAUAAUAAGAUAGGACUUUGGUUUUACUUUGUUGGCUGUUGACCAAAGUAAUGAUUGAUAGGGAUAGUUGGGGGUGCUAGUAUUGGGUGGUCAGCGGUGAAAUGCAUGGACCCAUUCAAGACUAACUUAUGCGAAAGCAUUCACCAAGGAUAUCUUCUUUGAUCAAGAACGAAAGUUGGGGGAUCGAAGACGAUCAGAUACCGUCGUAGUCUCAACCAUAAACUAUGCCAACUAGGGAUUGGCGGCAGUUGAUCAUUGACACCGUCAGCACCUUAUGAGAAAUCAAGGUCUCUGGGUUCUGGGGGGAGUAUGGUCGCAAGGCUGAAACUUAAAGGAAUUGACGGAGGGGCACCACCAGGAGUGGAGCCUGCGGCUUAAUUUGACCCAACACGGGGAAACUUACCAGGUCCGGACAUAGUAAGGAUUGACAGAUUGAAGAUCUUUCUUGAUUCUAUGGAUGGUGGUGCAUGGCCGUUCUUAGUUGGUGGAGUGAUUUGUCUGGUUAAUUCCGUUAACGAACGAGACCACAGCCUGCUAACUAGUUGUUUUCAUCUUCGGAUGGGGUAUAGCUUCUUAGAGGGACUGUCGGUUCUAGCCGAUGGAAGUGUGAGGCAAUAACAGGUCUGUGAUGCCCUUAGAUGUUCUGGGCCGCACGCGCGCUACACUGAUACGAUCAGCGAGUUUUGUUCCUUUGUCGAAAGGCAUGGUUAACCUUGUGAAAUCGUAUCGUGUUGGGGCUUGACGAUUGUAAUUAUUUGUCACAAACGAGGAAUUCCUAGUAAGCGCAAGUCAUCAGCUUGCAUUGAUUACGUCCCUGCCCUUUGUACACACCGCCCGUCGCUCCUACCGAUUGAAUGUUCCGGUGAACACUCCGGAGCUUUUGCUUGACCGGGCAACCGGGCUUGCAUUGGCGAAGCUGUGUAAACCUUAACAUUUAGAGGAAGGAGAAGUCGUAACAAGGUU
rnacentral:rRNA from 1 species